rnacentral:rRNA from 1 species
AUGAAUUUUUAAUAGCCGCAGUAUCUUAACUGUGCAAAGGUAGCAUAAUCAUUAGUUUUUUAAUUGAAAGCUAGAAUGAACGGUCGAAUGAGAAAAUUUCUGUCUCUAUAAAAAUUUUAUAGAAUUUUAUUUUUAAGUUAAAAAGCUUAAAUAGGGGUAAAAGACGAGAAGACCCUAUAGAGUUUAAUAUUUAUUAAUUAUUUUUUUUUUUAGUAUUUUAAGAUUAAUAAUUUUAUGGUAUUUAAUUGGGGUGAUUGGAAAAUUAAUUAAACUUUUCUUAUAAAUAGACAUUUAUUUAUGAAAUUAUGAUCCUUUAAUAAAGAUUAUAAGAUAAAAUUACCUUAGGGAUAACAGCGUAAUUUUUUUUAAGAGUUCUUAUCGAAAAAAAAGAUUGCGACCUCGAUGUUGGACUAAAAUAAAUUUUUGGUGUAGAAGCUAAAUUUAAUUGGGUCUGUUCGACCCUUAAUAUUUUACA